rnacentral:rRNA from 1 species
UACGUAGGGCGCAAGCGUUGUCCGGAAUUAUUGGGCGUAAAGAGCUCGUAGGCGGUCUGUCACGUCGGAAGUGAAAACCCGGGGCUUAACCCCGGGCUUGCUUUCGAUACGGGCAGACUAGAGUGUGGUAGGGGAGACUGGAAUUCCUGGUGUAGCGGUGAAAUGCGCAGAUAUCAGGAAGAACACCCGUGGCGAAGGCGGUUCUCUGGGACGGUACUGACGCUGAGACGCGAAAGCGUGGGGAGCGAACAGG